rnacentral:rRNA from 1 species
AACAAACGCUGGCGGCGUGCCUAAUACAUGCAAGUCGACCGGGGAAAGCUUUCGGGUGAGUACUACUGGCGCACGGGUGAGUAACGCGUGAUAAUCUGCCUUAGAGUGGGGGAUAACUAGUCGAAAGUUUAGCUAAUACCGCAUACGACCACAAUAACUGCGGCUCAAGGCGUCACAGGUUUUGCGCUCUAAGAUGAGUCCGCGUAAGAUUAGCUAGUUGGUAGGGUAACGGCCUACCAAGGCGACGAUCUUUAACUGGGCUGAGAGGAUGAUCAGUCACACUGGAACUGAGACACGGUCCAGACUCCUACGGGAGGCAGCAGUAGGGAAUAUUGCACAAUGGAGGAAACUCUGAUGCAGCGACGCCGCGUGAGUGAUGAAGGCCUUCGGGUCAUAAAGCUCUGUCGCAGGGGAAUAACACAAUGAAGGUACCCUGUAAGAAAGGAUCGGCUAACUUCGUGCCAGCAGCCGCAGUAAAAC